ensembl:lncRNA
CUAUCUUUUCCCGUUUCCCAGCUCUAAAGCUUGAGUCAGGGCUAUGAGCUCAGCUAAUUGGGGUGAAGUACCUGGUGACAGAGGCUUAGUCUCUAUGAUCUCAAAAUUGGAGACUGCUACAUAUCCGGCUCUUCUUUUUCCAUCCAAGACAAAGCUGCUUCCAUCAGUGUACCAGAUUUCCUCAGGAUUGGUCAGAGGAUCUUCUGACAAUCCCUCUCAAGGUUUUGUCCAGUGGUCCAAGGUUUUUAGACAAGAGUGAAAGGGGAGAGAGCCCUUGGGGGUAGGCAGGAGGGUGGCUGGGUUCAGAACCUCACAAGGGGAUAUAGUGCGGCCUGGAUUUUCAUUUGGUAUUACUUGAUAUCUGAGGAUUCUUUGACCAGACAUCCAUAAAUGGCCUCUCCCAUUUAGGAGUUGUUUUACUUGGUGGCUGGUAAAAAUAGUUAAUUUGUUCCCAAAGGAGAGUUUCAAAGCAUCUUCUAUCAUGAUUGCAAUAGCUGCAAGAUUUCAAAGGCAGGAGGCCCAGCCUCAGGCAGUUGGAUCGAGCCUCUUGGAUAAUUAAGCUACAGGCUGGGGCUCGGAUCCCAACCUUUGACUUAACAUUUCCAAGGCUAUUCCCUCUCUUUCACGGACAUAAAAUUGGAAUGCUUUUUCUGGGUCUGGAAACCUCAAGGCAGGUGCCUGAGUUAAGGCCUGUUUUAGUGUAGCCUCUGCCUUCUUUUGAGGAGUUCCCCACAUCAGUGGGAUUGAAUCAUCCCGUCUCUUUAAGCUUUCAUACAAGGGCUGGGCAAUUAGGCCAUAGUUGAGUAUCCAGAUUCUAUAAUACCCAGUUAGCCCCAGGAGAGCCCGCAAUCGUUUUUGAGUCAUGGGGGAGGGCAACUGGAGGAUUCCUUGUACCUGAUCAGAAGACAGACUCCUGGACCCGUGUGUAAUCUGAACUCCCAGGUCCCAGGUCCAGAUCUAGGAGAUCCCGGCUAAGGGCCUGUCCAAACAGGUGGGGACUAUCUCUGAAUCCUUGAGGUAAUACUGUCCAAGUCAUCUGUUAGUGUUUUUCUCCUGGGGUCUCCCACUCAAAGGCAAAAAGAUAUUGGGAUUUUUUAGCCAGUGGUAUGCAAAAAAAUGCAUCUUUGAGAUCCAAGACUGUAAACCACUUGGCACUGGGUGGGGUUUCUCCCAAGAUUACAUAGGAUUUGGGUACUGUGGGAUGGAGGGGUACUACAGCUUCAUUUAUGAUCCAGAGAUCUUGAACCAUUCGACAGGUUCCAUCCUUUUUCUUUACUGAGAGGAUUGCGGUGUUACAUGGCAAAUUGGUGGGGACCAAUAGCCCACAAGCAAGGAAUUUAUUAAAGGCUGUAGUCCCUCCCAAGCCUCUCUUUUGAGGGGAUAUUGUUUCCAGUUAGGAAACCGAGUAGGAUCUAGGAGGACAAUGAUGACCAGUUCAGCUUGG